rnacentral:lncRNA from 1 species
CAGCCAGACAGUGUCCUUGUGAGGGGGAACUAGCUACUGUGUGUGUGUGUGUGUGUGUGUGUGUGUGUGUGUGUGUGUGUGUGUGUGUGUGUGUGUGUGUGUGUGUGUGUGUGUGUGUGUGUGUGUGUGUAUGAUGAUGGUGUGUGUUUGACCUAAAUACCACUGAAGAAUGAUCCAGUGUGGUUUCAGCUCAAAUCAUUUGUAUCUAGUGAACACAAGCCCUGUCUGCUGCUAGCUGUCUGUCUGUCUGUCUGUCUGGAGAGAAAGACAGAGAGAGAGACAGAGAGAGAGAGACAGAGAGAGAGACAGAGAGAGAGAGACAGAGAGAGAGACAGAGAGAGAGACAGAGAGAGAGACAGAGAGAGAGAGAGAGAGAGAGAGAGACAGAUAAAGAGAGAGAGAGACAGAGAGAAAGAGAGACAGAGAGACAGAGAGAGAGACAGAGAGAGAGACAGAGAGAGAGAGAGAGACAGAGAGAGACAGACAGAGAGAGAGAGACAGAGAGACAGAGAGAGAGACAGAGAGAGAGACAGAGAGAGAGAGACAGAGACAGAGAGACAGAGAGUUGGCUUUAACAUUUUAAUAGCGUUUUGAGUUACAGGAGGUUGGUGGCACCUUAAUUAGGGAGGACGGGCUCGUGGAAAUGGCUGGAGCAGAAACAGUUGGAAUGGUAUCAAAUACAUCAAACAUGGUUUCCAUGUGCUUGAUGCCAUUCCAUUCGCUCCGUUCCAGACAUUAUUAGGAGGUCGCCUCCACUGGUGAGAAUAGCUGUAUAGCAUUGUGAAUAUAGUUCACCCAGGUGAGGUAUAUAACUGGUGGAGGAGUAUAGUUCAUCCAGGUGAGGUAUAUAACUGGUGGGGGAGUAUAGUUCAUCCAGGUGAGGUGGAGGAGUAUAGUUCAUCCAGGUGAGGUAUAUAACUGGUGGAGGAGUAUAGUUCACCCAGGUGAGGUAUAUAACUGGUGGGGGAGUAUAGUUCAUCCAGGUGAGGUGGAGAAGUAUAGUUCAUCCAGGUGAGGUAUAAAACUGGUGGAGGAGUAUAGUUCACCCAGGUGAGGUGGAGGAGUAUAGUUCAUCGAGGUGAGGUGGGGGAGUAUAGUUCAUCCAGGUGAGGUAUAUAACUGGUGGAGGAGUAUAGUUCAUCCAGGUGAGGUGGAGGAGUAUAGUUCAUCCAGGUGAGGUGGGGGAGUAUAGUUCAUCCAGGUGAGGUAUAUAACUGGUGUGUUGUGUAUGGUGUCUAUUAUAUCCUCUAUAGCAGGGCUUUGCCUGAUGGAAUAGCUCAGAUUCAUUAGACAAGCAGAAUAACUGUUAUUCCUUGACAAGGCAUGACAACCAUAUCAGACCAUUGGAGUUUGUAGUCAGAGCUAUUUCAGUAGAAGUUAUUUCAGUAGAAGCUAUUUCAGUAGAAGGUAUUUCAGUAGAAGGUAUUUCAGUAAAAGGUGUUUCAGUAGAAGGUAUUUCAGUAGAAGCUAUUUCAGUAGAAGGUAUUUCAGUAGAAGCUAUUUCAGUAGAAGUUAUUUCAGUAGAAGCUAUUGCAGUAGAAGCUAUUUCAGUAGAAGGUAUUUCCGUAGAAGGUAUUUCAGUAGAAGCUAUUUCAGUAGAAGGUAUUUCAGUAGAAGCUAUUUCAGUAGAAGGUAUUUCAGUAGAAGGUAUUUCAGGAGAAGCUAUUUCAGUAGAAGGUAUUUCAGUAGAAGGCAUUUCAGAAGAAGGUAUUUCAGUAGUUAAAGUACUAGAUGUAUUUCAUUGAGGUAGUUUGCAUGUUGCAUCAAAUCUUUUCAUGACUCUGUAAGCAGUGGUCAGUAUAAUAUUCUUGGGUUCACUUUACUGUGCUGUGAAAAUCUCUCCAUUUUAUUUUAGGCUGCAUCUAUUUGUAGAGCUAUUGUAGUAGAAAAUGUCUCUGUUUUGAUCCGUGUGUUUUCUGUUGUAGUUGAACUCAGCUCGUAUCAGAUUGCCUGGAACUGUGACGGUUGGUGAGGUGUUAAGGUGGACUGGAGGAAGUGAUCUGUAUCAGACUAUUAAGGUGGACUGGAGGAGUUUAACUGUGAGCGUUGGUGAGGUGUUAAGGUGGCCUGGAGGACGUGGUCUGUAUCAGACUAUUAAGGUGGACUGGAGGAGUUUAACUGUGAGCGUUGGUGAGGUGUUAAGGUGGCCUGGAGGACGUGGUCUGUAUCAGACUAUUAAGGUGGACUGGAGGAGUUUAACUGUGAGCGUUGGUGAGGUGUUAAGGUGGCCUGGAGGACGUGGUCUGUAUCAGACUAUUAAGGUGGACUGGAGGAGUUUAACUGUGAGCGUUGGUGAGGUGUUAAGGUGGCCUGGAGGACGUGGUCUGUAUCAGACUAUUAAGGUGGACUGGAGGAGUUUAACUGUGAGGGUUGGUGAGGUGUUAAGGUGGCCUGGAGGACGUGGUCUGUAUCAGACUAUUAAGGUGGACUGGAGGAGUUGUAACAAACAGUUGUUGGCAUGCUAACCUGUACAACAGGUCAAUUCAACUGGUUGAAUACAUAUUGAACUCUAUGAAUAACUUUUACAUGAGUUGGGGUCAUUUACCUUCUAGUUCCCUCACUUUAUUACCUGCUGCUUUUGUCCUUUUGUAGUUAUCAAGAAGUCCAUUCCAUUUCAAUUCAUCAUUCAAAGUCUAGAUAUAAAGUGAUAAGAGAAACCAGAGAGAUAGUAAGAGAGAACAAAGAGACAACAAAGAGAUAGAAAGAGAGAUAGUAAGAGAGAACAAAGAGACAACAAAGAGAUAGAAAGAGAGAUAGUAAGAGAGAACAGAGAGAGUUAGCGAGAGAGAGAAAAUAGAGAGAUACAAAGAGAGAUACAAAGAGAAAUACAAAGAGAAAUACAAAGAGAGAACAGAGAGAGUUAGCGAGAGAGAGAAAAUAGAGAGAUAGCCCAGCCAACCAGAGCCAUCUACCUCUAGUAGCCCAGCCAACCAGAGCCAUCUACCUCUAGUAGCCCAGCCAACCAGAGCCAUCUACCUCUAGUAGCCCAGCCAACCAGAGCCAUCUACCACUAGUAGCCCAGCCAACCAGACCCAUCUACCUCUAGUAGCCCAGCCAACCAGAGCCAUCUACCACUAGUAGCCCAGCCAACCAGACCCAUCUACCUCUAGUAGCCCAGCCAACCAGAGCCAUCUACCUCUAGUAGCCCAGCCAACCAGAGCCAUCUACCUCUAGUAGCCCAGCCAACCAGAGCCAUCUACCUCUAGUAGCCCAGCCAACCAGAGCCAUCUACCUCUAGUCUCCCAGCCAACCAGACCCAUCUACCUCUAGUAACCCAGCCAACCAGACCCAUCUACCUCUAGUAGCCCAGCCAACCAGACCCAUCUACCUCUAGUAGCCCAGCCAACCAGACCCAUCUACCUCUAGUAGCCCAGCCAACCUACAUCAGACCAGUAUUCUGCAGCAGGCCCUACCGUACUACCCACCUACAUCAGACCAGUAUUCUGCAGCAGGCCCUACCGUACUACCCACCUACAUCAGACCAGUAUUCUGCAG